rnacentral:rRNA from 1 species
UACGAAGGGGGCUAGCGUUGCUCGGAAUCACUGGGCGUAAAGGGUGCGUAGGCGGUGCGGUAAGUCUGUUGUGAAAUCUCCGGGCUCAACUCGGAGUCUGCAUCAGAAACUGCCGUGCUGGAGUGUGGGAGAGGUGAGUGGAAUUCCCGGUGUAGCGGUGAAAUGCGUAGAGAUCGGGAGGAACACCUGCGGCGAAAGCGGCUCACUGGACCAUAACUGACGCUGAUGCACGAAAGCUAGGGGAGCAAACAGG